UAAGAAGAUUUUCAUUCUUAACUAUUUUUUUUCCCCGUGCUUUGUAGAUUGGAAGUGGUAUUUGAGGAAAGGGACAUUUUGAUGCAUGGAAUUCUUGCCAGUACUCCAAUGAAUUGCUGAUUUUGUUAUUUGUACCAGCUCACUCUCCAGAGGCCGCCAACAUUCCAUCGAGGCGCUGGACUGGUUAGCCAAUGACAGGCAACGGGAUCGGCCCGCCAGCCAACCUAAGGCAGGGACACGGCCUUUUGCUGCCGCGCUUCCCCAUGACGGGUAAGACUGGCCACCUGUGUGGCACGGGCAUUGCCCGGCUGGGCGCAAUCCCGACCUAAGACAGGCACAGUCCCCCUCCCUCCUCAAAUCAAGCUUUUCGGAGGAGCUUAAUAAAAACAAAGGGGGAAAUGUGGGAGGAAGGGCACCCGGCUUGCCACAGUAGCAAACGGUGCGGCAAGAAGUGAUACCGCCUCUGCCCACUGGGCCUAGAUAAGGUGACCACGCCUGACUAGGCCUUUGCUGCUAGCGGCUGGCCGGCGCUGCCCUCCCCCUUUCUAUCUCCCGCCUAGCCCAACAUCCGGCCAGCUCUCACUCCCCCUUUCCCCUCCCCUAUUCCAAACCUCUCAGCUAGCCCUCCCUAUAUCUUACUCCUCCCUCUACCCAACCCUAUAUAACCAAGUGUACUUCCGUAAUAAAGCAGACCUGUUCUUGCGCUCAAGCGGUCUCCGUGGUUUUUCCCCAACCACGCGUCCCCCACGCCUGGAGAACCGGUGCUCCCUCUUGGGGCACCCCCCGCCGGUGGUUUGGCAGGAGCAAGCCCCCCCGACUCUUGGGCCCGAGCGAGGACGAGACCCUCACACUCAGCCACAGCCAAGGACUGACACUGCGACAGUAGCUCUAGAAGGGAAGAGGAACUUCAGAUGCCCUUGCCUAAACCCUCAGACGUCAGCUGCAGAGGGCAAGCGGACACCCACUCGGAGUCAGUGGUUCCCCGUGCUUGCCCUGGCCUCUUGGGCACCUUUCAGGAAAUGA
rnacentral:lncRNA from 1 species